GCCAGACUCCUACGGGAGGCAGCAGUGGGGAAUAUUGCACAAUGGGGGAAACCCUGAUGCAGCGACGCCGCGUGAGCGAUGAAGUAUUUCGGUAUGUAAAGCUCUAUCAGCAGGGAAGAAAAUGACGGUACCUGACUAAGAAGCCCCGGCUAACUACGUGCCAGCAGCCGCGGUAAUACGUAGGGGGCAAGCGUUAUCCGGAUUUACUGGGUGUAAAGGGGGCGCAGACGGCAGCGCAAGCCAGGAGUGAAAGCCCGGGGCCCAACCCCGGGACUGCUCUUGGAACUGCGCGGCUGGAGUGCAGGAGGGGCAGGCGGAAUUCCUGGUGUAGCGGUGAAAUGCGUAGAUAUCAGGAGGAACACCGGUGGCGAAGGCGGCCUGCUGGACUGCAACUGACGUUGAGGCCCGAAAGCGUGGGGAGCAAACAGGAUUAGAUACCCCAGUACGU
rnacentral:rRNA from 1 species